rnacentral:rRNA from 1 species
AUACGGAGGGUGCGAGCGUUAAUCGGAAUUACUGGGCGUAAAGGGUGCGUAGGCGGCUUGAUAAGUCGGAUGUGAAAGCCCCGGGCUUAACCUGGGAAUUGCAUUCGAUACUGUCAGGCUAGAGUAUGUCAGAGGUUGGCGGAAUUCCUAGUGUAGCGGUGAAAUGCGUAGAUAUCAGGAGGAACACCAGUGGCGAAGGCGGCUAACUGGGGCAAUACUGACGCUGAGGCACGCCCGCGUGGGGAGCAAACAGGAUUAGAAACCCCGGUAGUCC